UUAUCAUCAUAAAAUUUGUAGCUACCAGUGAGGCACUCAUUAUUGGUCUGUCUGUUGGUUUCUCAGUCAGUUUGAUUAUAGCAGCUGUCGUUAUUCUUAUUAUAUUUGUUGUCUGUUUUAGAUUCAAAAAGAACACUAAAAAAUUCCGACAAAAUUUAGAAGCCAUCAAGGCCGACAUACGAGAUGUAAAGCAGAACGUGGGGGAACUUUCCAUCACCAACCAAUCGAUAGGGCCAGCAAUACAAUAUAUAGCGGAUAAUAGAUCAUAUAUUGCAUCUCAAGUUCCAAUGAGAGCUGUCAAUAUAUUAGAGGAGAAGUAUAGUGAUGGCACAGAUGAUACUAUGUUAUAGAUGCUAGUCUAAACAGAAAUUCACUUUUUGUAUUUCGUUUUUAAAUGCACAGA